UUUUACUGGGUUUCCUCCACAUACAUACAGGUGAGAUUCUUUUGGUGCACUGACAUGACAUGCAACAUGCUGUGGUUGACUUCACUCCGUAUGUCUGCCUCGUUCCCUCCUCCCUCCCUCCCUCCCCUUCUCCUACAUCUACUCCACCGUCUUCCCGUAUCUUUAUGAUACUCGUCUCCUCUCCUACCACCUUCUUUCCUUGUUUGGGUCUGGCUUCCACAUAUGAGAAACAUUCAGCUCUUGGUUUUCUGAGUCUGGCUGAUUUCACUUACCAUGAUGUUAUGGUUUGGAUGCGAGGUGUCCUGCACAAACUCAACGUGUGAGACAAAGCGAGAGGGUUCAGAGGGGAAGUGACUGGGUUACAAGAGCCUUAACCCAAUCAAUGGGUUAAUGCCUGAUGGGAUUGACUGAGCGGUAAUUGAAGGUAGGUGGGGUGUGGCUGGAGGAGGUGGGCAUUGGGGCUGUGGUUUGGGGUAUAGAUUUGUAUCUGGCAGGUGGAGUCUUUCUGCUUCCUGGUCAUCAUAUGAGCUGCCUCCCUCCAUCACACUCUUCUGCAUGAUAUUCUGCCUCACCUCCAUCCCUGAGGAAUGGAGCCUUUUGUCUAUGGAUUGAGACCUCUGAAACUGUGAGCCCCCGAGUAAACUUUUCCUCCUCUACAGUUGUUCUGCUCAAGUCUUUCAUCACAGCAGCAAAUUAGUGACUAAAACACACGAUGUUCUGCAUUUUCAUCC
rnacentral:lncRNA from 1 species